ACAGGAACUUGAUCCACCUCUAUGACGAGAUAUGUGCGAUAUUUAUAAAAUGGGAUGAAAUAAACUUGUAAAAUACCUGAAGUCAUUGGCAAGUUCAGGCAACGUUACUUAACGACAGAUACCUUCGCUGAUACAAAUAUUCUGCAUGAGCAUGAAUAAGCAUAAUGGAUUAUCGGAAGCCCCAUUUGAAGAUUAUGCUAGGUAUAACCUAUAAGUUUCAGCCUUUUACGAAGAGAAAUAUGUUUCGUACAACAUAUGUGGUAUUGUUGUCGAAAUUGUGCCACGAUACAAAACAAUAACAUAUUGUAAACUCGUUGACAAUAAAGGAUACAAAUUGUCGUAGCACUUAA